GCGUCUCCUCCGCUUCAGUCGGGUUGGGCCCACUCAUCAGUGUACUGGGUAGGAGAUGUUGCUCUGUGUGCGUCCUGGGUGAGAGAAAGGGGAGACGUGGGGUGGAUCGUGCUGCGCAGUAAAAACCUAGCCACCAAUCCCCGCAUCUCCGAGCAGCCAAUCCAGCCCCGCCUCCGUCCUCCCCAUCUCUCCACUGCGCCGCCUCCUCCUCCCCUUCACUUUUCUCUCCGGCGGCGGCACCAUAGAAGGCGCACACGGGCGGUGGAUCCGUGCCGGUGAAGAGCAGCGGCGGCGGCGCCAUAGAAGGCGCACACAGGCGAUGGAUCCGUGCCGGUGAAGAGUGGUGAAGAGCGGCGGGGACUGCGCUCCGGUCACGGUGGGGUGCAGCCGCGGGGAAGACGAAGGAGGUCCGCCGCCUGUCUUCGCCUCCUCGUCGCGUCCUUGCUGCCUCCAUGGCCAACCGCACAUUUUUUUCUCUGUCCCUCCAUGGCGCUCGUUGCCGACCGGAUCUCAAUGAACAGGUGACCACCAUGGCACUUGCUGCUAGCCAGUAAGGAACAAGUGACCCGGGGCAAUAUUCAGUGUGCUGGCUGCGGCGGUGGUCCGUUCCUGAAAUUGGCAAGGAGGGGUAGAUCCUGCGGCUGUGUUUCCAGUGUGCUGGCUGCGGCGGAGGUCCGUUCUUGAACAUGAUCGCAAAGUCCCACCGUCAAGAACAAGGAAGAGGCCGUCAAGGGAAGCCGACCUGCAGCUACCACGCUCCACGACGCCCUCCCCAAUCAGAUUUCUCUUCUUCCUCACUCAUGCCCUGCCGCGUCGCCGCCCUAGCCACUUCUUCACAGGACAACGGUGGGCAGUCACGGCUUGCGGCGAACAUCGUUGGGUGCACCCCUGCCGGAUCCAGCCUCUGCUAUUCGCCUACCACCGGCAGGUUCAAUGAUGUAAAUCUACCUGAUAUAUUGUUGAUGGGAAUUAAGUCUAACGUAGAGUGAUCUAUCUACUACUAGGCAGAUUUCUUUGUAUAAAACAUACAAAUUGUUGCCUUAUAUUCUGAAAUCUUAUUUCUCGGUGUUCAACUGCAGACUAAGUUCAGAUUGUCUUCGUGCCAGAAAUGAAGCAGGUAAUGCUAUAACCUCAGCAGUGUAUGGUCUAGAUUUCGAAGGUCGUCUAAUAUUUUACUUAGGUUCAUUCAAAUAUCUUUAUUUGACAUGCAUGUAUUUCUUGUGUGUGCACACUCUCUUAGUUCUAUAUCUCUUUGAUAUGAAUUAUUAGCAGACAAAAUUUUCAUGCUUUGAGGUAUUAUCGAUAUUCACUAUUUAAGACGUCAGUUGCCAGCUUAUAUUCCUUUAAAAUUUUAGUGCUGAGCUUGGCUUCUGUUUUAGGAUACAGUUAUUGUACCAUAUGCUCAUUGGUUUCCAUCUGAUUCCUCUUUUUGACAUGGACAUAUACCAUGUGGUAUAAUAUUUAAGAAGAAUGACUUGAAAAUUUCAAAUAGAUGGUUACUCUUACCCGUAGUUUCUUUGGGAUGCUGAUAGCGUCUAGAGAUGCCUUCUAAUCAAUAAAAGUAAGAUCUGAUCAUGCGCUAUAUGUUGAUUCUCUUACAUAUGUAUUACGAGAAAAUUAAGGCACACAUGUUGAUAUUGGACUGAUGACCUUUCUUCUUCUCAUAUUUUUUAUUAUCUUACCGAUCAACCUCAGAUGGUGCCGGCAAUUGUGCAAAGCAGUUUGCACAUUAGAGGUUUGGUAUGGGAUUCUGAAGAAAACAUUAGCCCUUAUGAUGCCCCAACUUUGUGGCUAUUGCAGCUAUUGUGGCAAGGCGCACAUCAUCGUCGUUUCAUAUUGAUAUCCUGAUAUUUUCUUCAGUUUGCCAUUGGCAAAUAUUCUAUAUCCCUGGUUGCUCUGCACAUACUGCUCCGGCGAGUUCUUCCCCCAUUUUUCUCUUUCAUGCCUUGCUUCGUUUGUUCAACCAAGUGUGUGCUCAUGAUCUUCUUUCCAAGUUUAUCGAGAUUUUGGUGGCGUAGCUGGUUUACAGCCUAUAAGUUUUUGUGAUUUCAACCAAGUGUGUGUGUUAUGAUAAUUAAGGUUACUAGGAUGAAUGGUGUUUCUGUAAGCCCAGACAUAUUUUUUCUCUUCACAAAUUUGUGAUGCACUAAUUAUCUUACCUAUUCUGUUGAUCUCGGUAAUCACCCAACGAAUAAAGCUUGCAGCCCAUGUUCGUUCUUCUGGAAAAGUCAUUGCAGAAUGUUAAUGGCAUCAUAUUCCCUUUAGAGAAAUCUUUUACUGGAAUUUAAUUUCCUACAUACAUGCUUAUCAUUUGGCAUAAUGUUAUUUUGUGACACUUAAUUUUUCCUUGUCUUCCACAUUUUAAUUCAAGCAGCAGUGAUAGAAUUUGCAACCUGGUGUGGCCUUGCGCUCCUACUAUUCUGCUGAAGAAUGAUCAGCAAAUGCAGUGGAUUUGGGCUGAGCAAUUACUGAAUAUUCACGUCAUCUGUAACAUUAAUCAGAGGUUACUAAGAUUAGAUGUUGAUUGAUCUGUUCUCUACCCAUGAGGCAGUGGAGAAGAAAGACAACUCUAGGUAUGUAUCCACCAUGCUCUCAUCUCAUGUAAGUGGCGACCUUUUCUUAGUCACAGUGAGUUUGAGGCUUUAACCCCUGUCCUUGCUAGCUGAAACUGGUUUCUUGUUGAAUAAUGCUCAUCGCUCUAUUUUAGGAUGUGACAGCAUACCUUGUGUUAUUUGGACAUUUUAGAGGGAAAUGCAGCCUUUGUAUGGGUCCGCAUCUUUAGAUUUUGUAACAAAAUAUGUUUAUAAUUUAUACAACCUUUUCUACUAAGAAAAAAUGGUGCUAGCUACAAGCUGCUUGAAAAAAUGUCUAGGAUUUAGGGUCUUAGCAAAAAACAUGCUCUUUGCUAUGUUUAGGUGGCCACAUCAGUGGUAUGCACAUUGUGGCUCUGGUAAUUACGUACACUCACUUUCUUUUGCAAAAUGUGCAGAUAGUCUAAUGUACACACUAGAUUUUAUCAAUUGACUAAUUCAUGAUUUCACAUUACUAGGCUUCUUGAUUUCAGUACGCAAGAUUGUACCGACGAAAAGAGUGUACUUUGAAUUACUUUACUUGUUAUAAUAAAUGUACGUGGUAAGACGAGAUUUCUGUCACUCUUUGGUUUGUAAGCAUUAUGUGCAAGUUGGGUGUUCAGUGUACUGCUUGAUGCUCCAUAUUGCAUCACACUGCCUCGAGCAGAAGGACUAAAAUUUAUUUUGGGUUCAUCAGGAAGGAUUGCUGAUGAAGCCAUUGUUUUAGAGUUGGUAAUCAUGUGGCACUAGAUAUGAUGGAGGCACUAAUUAACUUAGUGCUACUAUGAACAUUCUUAUACGAGAUUUUGGAUAUUAGAGUUAAAAAGGUACACAUUCUUCCAAAAUUGCAAAAAGUGAAGCGAGUGUAGAGUGAAAAAAUAGCAGCCAAUGAGGUUGACAACCAAAGUUCUUGGUAUGAUUCAGGCUUGGCUAUUAGCAAAGUAGUGCUAGGUCCUCGCCGUUCGUUCUUACUCUAUUUUCUCGAGUCUUUGGUUUCUCUUUAUUCACUUUUCGCUUUCUAUUUUCAUUAUCACUAUUCAUUUGGUAUCUUGGUUUCUCUUUGUUUAGUCUCCACCCUCUUUCUCCGAUACCUUUUUUUUCAUUUGUAUGUCAAGUUAAGAAUGAGAGGCUAGAUAAACAAACAGGAAAAUGCUCAGUUCGUUCAGGCCUUAGGGAUGCAUUCCAUCAUCACUGUCCAUCAACAAGUUCAACUCCGACAAUGGUUCACCGAUAAUGUGGGCCGGUGCACCACGUCAGCAACGUCGACGGCCUGACAGGCCAUUUUCCAACUGGGCCUAUUGUAAAUGACGAGACCAUGAGGAUGUAAUCAGUAAUGUUGCUCCUGAAAAUGAAGAUGUACUUUGUCGUUCCACUAAUCUCGGCAAAAGAGUAGAUAUGGUGCUCCUCGUGCUAUAGUGGAAUUGAAUCACAAAAAAAUCUACAAAUUCAUCAAACAAUGAAGGAGGUUAGUUUUUACCUGAGCGGCAACGGCGGCCACCAUGGUCUUGCUGGAGCCUCGCUUGCAGUCGAAAGUCAUCAGCUUCAGGGAGUGUCGGCACAGCCAGAAUAGACGCCACCUUCAGUGGGGAGCAACAGCAGCAACUGCGAGGAUUUGGCUCGCCGAUACGAGCAACGGUGGCGCCAUACCCCCUUCCGCAGCUCCGAGCUGCUGGUCCGCCGAGAUGCAGAUGGAGCCGACGAGCCGUUGCGCCUCCAAGCUACCGGGCCACCGAGAUGCAGAUGUAGUCGCGGCCCCUCUGAGCUGCAGCGAGAGCUGCUCCGCCGCCAAGCUGCAGCGUGAGCGUCCGUGAAGAUGGAGCCGUACUUUCUCUCCAGUACGAGUACAGUGGGGAGAGGGGAACGAAUCCAAUGAACUGGUCGAUGGAACCAAGACCAACAGUCAACCACGUGGUGAUCUCUAUGCUAUAUGCGCCACGCGUGUGUAUAGGUGUCCAGAAUGUGUGGUUCUCUGUCACAGCGCCACGUUGGAGAUAUUCAAUAAUACCCAUAAGAUGUGAUAUUUUUAGAAUCUAGAUGAGCAUAUGAGUGCAUAAGAAAUACUGACACUGUACUUUGGCAACCUAUAAGAUUGUUUAUCACGAAGCUACUUGAACUUUCUUAUGCUUUAGGCCAACUAUUGUGCUCAUCCAACAUAGUGAAAGUAAUGCUCGAUCUAUUCUUUUA